GCUAGCCGGUGACGGUGCGCGAAUCCCAAAAAUAACGUCUCAGUUCGGAUUGUAGUCUGCAACUCGACUACAUGAAGUCGGAAUCGCUAGUAAUCGCGGAUCAGCAUGCCGCGGUGAAUACGUUCCCGGGCCUUGUACACACCGCCCGUCACACCAUGAGAGUUUGUAACACCCAAAGCCGGUGGGGUAACCUUUUGGAGCCAGCCGUCUAAGGUGGGACAGAUGAUUGGGGUGAAGUCGUAACAAGGUAUC
rnacentral:rRNA from 1 species